UAUAUCUAGUGCGAAAGAGACCGACGACUAUCCAGCAAUAUGUAGAUACAGAUGCGAAAUUCCCUGCUAUGACUAAAACCUCGGUUUCUACUUGUUUGACAUUGACAAUGAGCCAAGGACUGGAAUGGCACAAAUAUCACGCUAUAGAUUAGACCACCGCAACUUAUCACAAAAAAUUGUUUACCGCAUCACCCAGGUUUCCCACGCCAUAUAUUUAACACUUGGCAUACACGUGAAAAACUUGCGAUUUUAGUGGUAUAGAAAUGUUUUAGUGACCUGCUAAAAACUUUGAAGAUUGAUAAGAUCCAUAGCUAGUUCGGAUUCACUCAGGAGACAACACCCACCUACACUUGCCGGCAAUCAAUCGAAGACUAAAAAGAUUCGGAUACGAGGCGAAAUAUAUACGAUGAACAAAAAAUAAAAGAGAUACAGGCAACGCAUGACAACAAAAAACAAUCAAAAUAAAUGUACGUUGCUAUCAAGAAACCGUGUAUAAAAAUAAAACCGACACAUGUCGGUCUAUAUGUAUGGCAGUGUUUGUACAAAAACAAGCUGAUAAAAAACGAACAAAAAAUCUACAGAGUGUCUAAAAAGUGUCAUGGAAUAUGGUAGAAGUUGCUUCGGAAAGAUGAACAAACAAGUUCGACUUGUGGCCGCAUUUCGUAUCAGCUAUCAGUGGAAAUUUUGAAUCAAAAACAACGAAAAAACGAGCCCCCACUGGCGGUUCCAAAGGUUUUGUAUUAU